GAGGAAUAAGCAUCGGCUAACUCCGUGCCAGCAGCCGCGGUAAUACGGGGGAUGCAAGCGUUAUCCGGAUUUAUUGGGCGUAAAGCGCCUGUAGGUUGUUUAAUAAGUCUGUUGUUAAAGACUAGGGCUCAACCCUGGGAAAGCAAUGGAAACUGAUAAACUUGAGUAUGGCAGGGGUAGAGGGAAUUUCUAGUGUAGCGGUGAAAUGCGUAGAUAUUAGAAAGAACACCGGUGGCGAAAGCGCUCUACUGGACCAUUACUGACACUCAGAGGCGAAAGCUAGGGGAGCGAAAGGGAUUAGAUACCCCUGUAGUCCUAGCCGUAAACGAUGGAUACUAGAUGUUGUGUUAUUUAUACAGUAUCGUAGCUAACGCGUUAAGUAUCCCGCCUGGGGAGUACGCUCGCAAGGGUGAAACUCAAAGGAAUUGACGGGGGCCCGCACAAGCGGUGGAGCAUGUGGUUUAAUUCGAUGCAACGCGAAGAACCUUACCAGGGCUUGACAUACUACAAAUCUCUUUGAAACGAGAGAGUGCCUUCGGGAAUGUAGAUACAGGUGGUGCAUGGCUGUCGUCAGCUCGUGUCGUGAGAUGUUGGGUUAAGUCCCGCAACGAGCGCAACCCUCGUUUUUAGUUGCCAAUUUAUUGGGUUUUUAGAAAGACUGCCGGUGACAAACCGGAGGAAGGUGAGGAUGACGUCAAGUCAGCAUGCCCCUUAUGCCCUGGGCCACACACGUGCUACAAUGGCAAAGACAAAGAGUUGCAAAUUCGCGAGGAUAAGCUAAUCUCAUAAACUUUGCCUAAGUUCGGAUUGUAGGCUGCAACUCGCCUACGUGAAG
rnacentral:rRNA from 1 species